rnacentral:rRNA from 1 species
UUAGGAAAGACCGGUCCAAGCACAGGAGGCGUUGCGCAGGCAAAUCCGCGCAAUAAGCCAAAGGUGUGACGGGGAGCGAAAUUAUAGUAGCGAAGUCCGGAUACAUGCUGUCAAGAAAAGCCGCUAUUGCGCCAUAUGUACCCGUACCGUAAACCGACACAGGUGGAUGAGGAGAGAAUCCUAAGGCCGGCGGGAGAAGUGUUGUUAAGGAACUCGGCAAAAUGGCCCCGUAACUUCGGGAGAAGGGGCGCCCAGAAAUGGGCCGCAGAGAAAAGGCUCAAGCAACUGUUUAGCAAAAACACAGGUCUAUGCGAAACCGAAAGGUGAGGUAUAUGGGCUGACGCCUGCCCGGUGCUGGAAGGUUAAGGGGAGAGGUUAGCCGCAAGGCGAAGCUUUGAACUUAAGCCCCAGUAAACGGCGGCCGUAACUAUAACGGUCCUAAGGUAGCGAAAUUCCUUGUCGGGUAAGUUCCGACCUGCACGAAAGGCGUAAUGAUUUGAGCACUGUCUCGACAACACACCCGGUGAAAUUGAAAUACCAGUGAAGAUGCUGGUUACCUGCGCCAGGACGGAAAGACCCCAUGGAGCUUUACUCUAGUUUGAUACUGGGACCCGGUAUGACAUGUACAGGAUAGGUGGGAGGCAGAGAAUUAAUGACGCCAGUCAUUAAGGAGCCGCUGUUGGGAUACCACCCUUGUGAUGCCAGGUUUCUAACGAGCUGCCGUGAACCGGCAGGCGGACAAUGUCAGGCGGGGAGUUUGACUGGGGCGGUCGCCUCCGAAAGGGUAUCGGAGGCGCUCAAAGGUUCCCUCAGAAUGGUUGGAAACCAUUCGGAGAGUGCAAAGGCAGAAGGGAGCCUGACUGCGACACCGACGGGUGGAGCAGGUACGAAAGUAGGACUUAGUGAUCCGGUGGUAUAAAGUGGGAUUGCCAUCGCUCAACGGAUAAAAGCUACCCUGGGAUAACAGGCUUAUCACUCCCAAGAGUUCACAUCGACGGAGUGGUUUGGCACCUCGAUGUCGGCUCAUCGCAUCCUGGGGCUGGAGUAGGUCCCAAGGGUUGGGCUGUUCGCCCAUUAAAGCGGUACGCGAGCUGGGUCCAGAACGUCGUGAGACAGUUCGGUCCCUAUCCGGCGCGGGCGUAAGAGAUUUGAGAGGAGCUGUCCUUAGUACGAGAGGACCGGGAUGGACGGACCACUGGUGUAUCUGUCGCACCACCAGGUGCACGGCAGAGUAGCCAAGUCCGGACGGGAUAAACGCUGAAGGCAUCUAAGCGUGAAGCCCCCCUCAAGAUGAGAUCUCUCAUUUGAAAGAAGUAAGACCCCUUGAAGACGACGAGGUAGAUAGGGCAGGGGUGGAAGGGCAGUAAUGUCCGGAGCUGACUGUUACUAAUCGGUCGAGGGCUUGACC